AUGGACCAUGAUAGUCUUUUUUGCCUAAUC
rnacentral:piRNA from 1 species